UGCCUCUCUGCAAUACAGGACAGGGGCCAGAAUUGUAAUAACAUUCGACCCCCUCGUGCUGCCCCUGGCGUCAUGGCUACCUGGAGACAAGAAGCCUGGCCUGUCUCCCCGACGUGCCCCGAGCCUCGACUUGCUGAUGCGCAUGAAGAGCUCUGGGCUCCUGGCAGGUGCAGCCCUACGAGGGGCGACGUGUUUCUAGGACGUACCCCGGGAGAUCCAGCUCUCGCUCUGUUCUCCGGGCUGAAGGCUGGAUCGGCCCCAGCUGGCCACUGCCCUGGGCUGAGGCAGCCAGGAGGUGAGUCGCUCAUUUCACACCCUUCGAGGUCAGUUUCUAAAGCCGCCCGUCCCUCUGCAAGUGGGACCCCCAACGCCUGUGUGAGUGUGACGUUCUGAGUGUGAUAUAAUAGCUCAUUGAACGGUGACAGGGCCAGAAAGAGUUAAUUACCUCCCAGACUGUCCUGACCCAUGGCCGAACUUUAGAAACUGGUUA
rnacentral:lncRNA from 1 species